GCGUCCGUAGCUCAGUUGGUUAGAGCACCACCUUGACAUGGUGGGGGUCGGUGGUUCGAGUCCGCUCGGACGCACCA
rnacentral:tRNA from 2 species